AUGAACGCUAGCGAUAGGCUUAACACCUGCAAGUCGAGGGGCAGCAUGGUCUUAGCUUGCUAAGACUGAUGGCGACCGGCGCACGGGUGCGUAACGCGUAUGCAACUUGCCUCACAGAGGGGGAUAACCCGUCGAAAGACGGACUAAUACCGCGUACACUUGGGAUAGGGCAUCCUGACCCAAGGAAAUGAAAUUCGCUGUGAGAUAGGCAUGCGUCCCAUUAGCUAGUUGGUGAGGUAACGGCUCACCAAGGCGACGAUGGGUAGGGGAACUGAGAGGUUGAACCCCCACACUGGUACUGGGACACGGACCAGACUCCUACGGGAGGCAGCAGUGAGGAAUAGUGGUCAAUGGGCGAGAGCCUGAACCAGCCAAGUCGCGUGAAGGAUGACUGUCUUAUGGAUGGUAAACUUCUUUUAUACGGGAAUAACAAGAGCCACGUGUGGCUCCCUGCAUGUACCGUAUGAAUAAGCAUCGGCUAACUCCGUG
rnacentral:rRNA from 1 species